rnacentral:rRNA from 1 species
UUACCAUGCAGUCGAACGAUGAUGCCCAGCUUGCUGGGUGGAUUAGUGGCGAACGGGUGAGUAACACGUGAGUAACCUGCCCCUGACUCUGGGAUAAGCGUUGGAAACGACGUCUAAUACUGGAUAUGACUGCCGGCCGCAUGGUCUGGUGGUGGAAAGAUUUUUUGGUUGGGGAUGGACUCGCGGCCUAUCAGCUUGUUGGUGAGGUAAUGGCUCACCAAGGCGACGACGGGUAGCCGGCCUGAGAGGGUGACCGGCCACACUGGGACUGAGACACGGCCCAGACUCCUACGGGAGGCAGCAGUGGGGAAUAUUGCACAAUGGGCGAAAGCCUGAUGCAGCAACGCCGCGUGAGGGAUGACGGCCUUCGGGUUGUAAACCUCUUUUAGUAGGGAAGAAGCGUAAGUGACGGUACCUGCAGAAAAAGCACCGGCUAACUACGUGCCAGCAGCCGCGGUAAUACGUAGGGUGCAAGCGUUGUCCGGAAUUAUUGGGCGUAAAGAGCUCGUAGGCGGUUUGUCGCGUCUGCUGUGAAAUCCCGAGGCUCAACCUCGGGCUUGCAGUGGGUACGGGCAGACUAGAGUGCGGUAGGGGAGAUUGGAAUUCCUGGUGUAGCGGUGGAAUGCGCAGAUAUCAGGAGGAACACCGAUGGCGAAGGCAGAUCUCUGGGCCGUAACUGACGCUGAGGAGCGAAAGCGUGGGGAGCGAACAGGAUUAGAUACCCUGGUAGUCCACGCCGUAAACGUUGGGCGCUAGAUGUAGGGACCUUUCCACGGUUUCUGUGUCGUAGCUAACGCAUU